CUGGCCUAAAUGUGGAGGAGCUAUAUUCAGACGGCUGUGAGUGUGGGCGUUCAGUGAGAGAACGGCUCAGGCAGCGAAGUUGCCUACACACUCCUUCAUUCUGACUCACUCUUUACAGUGGUACAUGAGGACAAAAGUCAGGACCAGACGAGCUGAAAAACCAGACUGAGUAAAACAAAGUGUGAGCCGGCGUCACUUCCUCCAUCCCUGAAGCCAGCUGCCUUUGCACACUACGAUUUUAAUCAAGCUCUCAGCGGCAUGAAGCGGAUCUUGUACGAAGAGGCCGUUGAUUUAGUUACAGGAAGAACAGGAGCCACUGUGAAAUCCACUCACAGCAUACUCAUCAAAGAUGAUAUUCAUCUGGCUUGCUGAGUCAUGUAACAGACAACAAUCCACCAUUCAGGAUUGAUAAUGGAUUAUUCUCUCCCUGCGUUUAUUUGACAGGAACCAAUAAUCUUUGGGUGUCUUGGCUUGAUUAGCUCUGUUUGCAGUCAAUAUACACUGGAGGAAGUAGAAAUUAUAAUGUGAGGGAGGGGCCAAGAUCUUUAAAUGCUAUGUUUUUUUGUUUUUUUUUGCAGUCAGGUGUCCAUAAUUAAUGGCAAAAACAAUCAAGAUGAUCUUCCUCGAUGAUAGAAGAAAAACCUGAUUGUAAAGAAAUAACUGCCCUAUGUCUGGGCCCCAACUUCAAGAGUGAGAGCUGAUCAGUGAGGGACCCCUGCUGGUGCACCUACAUUGCUGCAGAUUCCUCAUAUCGAGUCAUUUUAAAGUGAUAAAAGUUACUGACAGAUUCAGGAGGCUUCACAGGUCUGUGGGCUGUACGCAAGAGGGUAGGACAGGAAAGGGUGGGCGAAAGGAGACUCGUGUUUCCUACUGUCUCUUCACUCCUGGCCCUCAGGUGAUCGAUCAGCAGAGAGCAAGCUAAUGCACGCCCACGCGUGCUGAUGCAAGGCACGGGAGCACACAGUUGCAUUCUGCACAUCCAAACAUACAAAUGCACAUGCUUCCAUUGUGAACUCAAUCCCAGGUCCACCAAGCUGCCACUGUUGGGCCCCUGAGCAAGGCCCUUAACCCUCAAUUGCUCAGUUCUAUAAAAAUGAGAUAAUGUAAGUCGCUCUGUAUAAGGGCAUCUGCCAAAUGCUGUAAAUGUAAAUGAUUCAUAAUUACGCACAUUUAUUGUUGUCAAUCUGCAAAAUAUUUAUUUUUUUUGCUUAGUAAGAACUGACAAAAUCACCCUUAUAUAUGUGCUUAUCGUUAAAACAACAACAAUUGAACAGCUGUCUCUUUUACAUUUUUUAUUCCUGCCUUUGUAUCAGCAGUUAGCAGGUCAGAUAUAUGAUCAUUAAUGAUUUAUAAAUGCAUUUAUAAUAAGAUGUGUAAUAUGUACUACCAUAUAAAUACUACACAGGGUAUACUGGGGUAAACUGGACAGUCUGGAAAAAAACAGGUUUUAGUUUUUCCCGUCUUCAAAGUUAGUAUUUUUGACCCAUUAUAAAAGACUAGAUGUCAAUCUCUGUGGACUGUUUGUACAGUAUAUUGUAUACAGAUGCAUAUACCAUACAUACAGUAUAUACAUACAUAUAUUGAGUUUACAAAUUCAGUCAAAGCAGGAAAUAAAAUAAUGUAUAUCGGUGUAUAUAUAUUAGAAAGUAAGACACAUAGUUCAUUUGUACUUUUACUGGAACUGAUUUUGUGCAGUUAAUGAUAAAAAUUUUAAAUGUACUCUUAUUUUUUCUUCUCUCCUUAAUCUGACAUUUUGUCUUGUACACUCCUUAUAAGACAAUGUAAUAGUGGAAAAUAUACGUAAAUUAUUAGAAAGGAUGUCUGUAUGCCUGGUAGGUAUGUCUAAAUUAAUAAUAAUUUGAGCUUUUUUGAAAUUCUUUGGUAUAGCACAUUGUAAAGAAUCUAUAUUGCUAGUUUAGUCAUGAAUUAUUGCUCUAUUGUUGACUCGAGUGUGAAAUUCUGAGCAAAACUAUGCACUACAGGAGUUGAAUGCAAAGCUGACACCGCUGCCUCACAUGCACACACACGUCGCUGCUCCUGCAGGCUGCCAUGGCAGCAGUGUGUCAUGUCAACAGCAGCUCACCUUGAAUGAAUGUUACUGUAGGCCUGUGGGAGCUGCAGAGCCGCCCUUGGCUGUGGGGGUGGGUCAGUUGUGCGUCAGUCAUUAAGUGCUGCUACACACCCAUGGCAACGAGCAUUGUUUGUGUACAAGCCUGCCAGGACACGGCACAAGUCUGUCUCUCUCUGUCCCACGGACAGCACACCCUGGGGACAGCACACAAGACACCAACACCCUUCUGCUGUGCUUUUCUGUAUUUACACUAGGGCUUGGUUUCCCAGAGGAGGGUUAAACCUUAUAUUAGUAGUAAGAAGGAUUUUAAUGAAAAGCUCCUAUUUGAAUUCAUGUUUUUGUUAUUGAUGAUUCAUUUUGAGCCUAAUAAUUACCUGUCCGUUUAGUGGGAUCCAUCUCCUGUGCCAUGGUAAGGGAUGAGGAUGCUUUCUUGUAUCUGUUCCAACAGGGUCAAGCUCUUUGGGGGAGGCAGGGACGGCACGUUUCCAUGGCAAUAUGCUCGCAGGCUCUUCCUCUGAGGAUGAAGAGGCGCUGCAGCAGUAAGGAUGGCUUGCUUGGAAUGCCUUUGAAGAAUUCUGUAGUCUGCUGGCCUUGUUCCAGGCAGAAUGCACAGCAUGCAACCGAAGGCAUUUCUCUGAGCAUUAAAUGUAAUUACACUUGCACAAGUGACAUUGUGUUUUGUUAAGGAAUUUUAUGCCCGUUCUUUCUGUGUACAAACUGGCAGCUGACACAAAGAGGAUUCCCGUAACACCAUCCUGAACAUACUGUAAUGCUUCUAAUAAUAAAGUGAAGUGGUGGAUUAAGACAAAUCUGAGUGGUGAAAAGAAAUGGCUUGAGUCAUGGGUUUGUUUGGGCGCUCAUGUAUGAUUCACAUGCAAACAGUAAUAGUCUUCCCUGCAGCAUUACACACAUU